GCAGUGACUUGAGCCAUCUCACCUCAUUCGCCGCGCGGAAUAAGGGGGAAUGUUUUUCUCAUAUUAUUAUUGAUGAAAAAUAAUAUCACUGGGAUAAGAAGAUAAAAAAAUAUAUUUUCAAAUUUGUUUUUGCAUAGUCCCUUUGCAUUAAUAUGAGUGUAUGUUAUUUCAAUUGUUUUGAUUUCGCAUCCGUGUUUUGAUUCCGCAUUCGUGCUUUGAUUUAGUGUCCGGUGCAAAUUCCGUAAAAGUUUGACCAUUCUUUAUAAGAUUGCAGUGAACAUGAAUUUUAUAGUCUCCUCACAUAAAAGCCAUCAAGACAAUAGGCUGAUAAAAACUAUAAAGCUGUCAAGGAUCUUUUAAUUUUACUGCCCGAAACUGCGCUGUUAUCGUCUGGAUACUCACUGGAUGAGCCCGGUGUGCACGCAUCUCACGUCUAUCGUAUGAUCAAGCUGGGUCUCGGAAUUGAUGAGGACGAAGCUAUGAGCACAGAUGAUACUCCAGCCGCAACUACUGGUGAAGAUGCUGCUCCACUAGUGGAUGACACCGAUCAUGCUUCACAAGUAGUUGGAAGUAGUUGAUCAAACAUACACGAUUUUUAACUACUUUUCGUAAUUUUUGAAAGUCUGAUUUGUGUUUCUGGAGAAAGGAAAAGGCUUGCGGAAUUGAAUUUCUCGUAUCAGUUAGGGUCAACUAUUGUAAACAUACAUUUUAAUUCUGUACCGCGUUAUAGCGGUGCAGAAGAUGUAUAUUGUUGUCAUUAGUAAUAGCAUACCAAAUACUUGAACUGACUACAUGUUAAUAAUAAUUAUAAAUUAUUUUAAAAUUCACAGUUUAA